rnacentral:rRNA from 1 species
CCUACGGGAGGCUGCAGUGGGGGAUAUUGCACAAUGGGGGGAACCCUGAUGCAGCGACGCCGCGUGGGUGAAGGAGUGCUUCGGCAUGUAAAGCCCUAUCGGCAGGGAAGAAGCAAGACGGUACCUGACUAAGAAGCCCCGGCUAACUACGUGCCAGCAGCCGCGGUAAUACGUAGGGGGCGAGCGUUAUCCGGAUUCACUGGGCGGAAAGGGAGCGUAGACGGCCAUGCAAGCCAGGGGUGAAAGCCCGGGGCCCAACCCCGGGACUGCCCUUGGAACUGCAUGGCUGGAGUGCGGGAGGGGCAGGCGGAAUUCCUGGUGUAGCGGUGGACUGCGUAGAUAUCAGGAGGAACACGGGCGGCGAAGGCGGGCUGCUGGACUGCGACUGACGUCGAGGCUCGAAAGCGUGGAGAGCGCACAGGAUUAGAUACCCUAGUAGUC